GAUGAACGCUGGCGGCGUGCCUAAUACAUGCAAGUCGAGCGAACAGACGAGGAGCUUGCUCCUCUGACGUUAGCGGCGGACGGGUGAGUAACACGUGGAUAACCUACCUAUAAGACUGGGAUAACUUCGGGAAACCGGAGCUAAUACCGGAUAAUAUAUUGAACCGCAUGGUUCAAUAGUGAAAGACGGUUUUGCUGUCACUUAUAGAUGGAUCCGCGCCGCAUUAGCUAGUUGGUAAGGUAACGGCUUACCAAGGCAACGAUGCGUAGCCGACCUGAGAGGGUGGUCGGCCACACUGGAACUGAGACACGGUCCAGACUCCUACGGGAGGCAGCAGUAGGGAAUCUUCCGCAAUGGGCGAAAGCUUGACGGAGCAACGCCGCGUGAGUGAUGAAGGUCUUCGGAUCGUAAAACUCUGUUAUUGGGGAAGAACAAAUGUGUAAGUAACUAUGCACGUCUUGACGGUACCUAAUCAGAAAGCCACGGCUAACUACGUG
rnacentral:rRNA from 1 species